ensembl:lncRNA
CGGGGGAUGGGGGCAGGACCUACACGGAUGAGACCCUUACACGGAGCUAUGAGGGCUGAGAAGGACCCAGGUGGGUGAAGGCAGAGGGAACAGCAAGUGCAAAGACCCUGAGGUGUGGUUGUAUGUGGUCUAGCUGAGGAGGAGGAAUAAGGCCAGGCCACAGCUGAGGCAGCAGCAUGACACAUGGAGAGGACGCAGAAGCUAAAAAGGGAGACGCAGGAAGAGACUUCGUGAGCUUCGGAAGAGUCCAGAUUUUAGCUUUUAGAAUAACCUGGGGGGUGGUGUAUUAUUACUUCUGCUCCCAUUUUACAGUUAAAGAAACAGAGAAUAGCACGUAAUAUAUAGGCAAGUACUGGGUUUAGGAUGGGUUGCUGUUUGGUGGGGUACCUCCUCUGAUGCUUGGAAGUGCAGUGUGGGUGGGGGCAGGCAGCCAGCAGAGUAGCCAUCAGGACAUCACUCUGAAUGGAGGGGCAAGGCUAGGAAUGUGCCAGAGGCUUAAAGAUAGGAGCCCCCCCUCCCACCUUGGGCUUUCUCCUCUGCUCUCUCCGGAGCAGUUGGAAGACAUUCGUGGGAAAAGAGGUGACUAUCAUGAUGGUCCUCAUUGCCGGACCAGAGAAGAUAGCAGGUAGGUCACUGGGCUGUGUCUACUGCACUGGCUUUCCAAGUAUCCAACCCAAAGGGAAGUGGUACCCACAGCAUCCACAGUGAGGGGAGGCUUGAUACCCUAGCUCUGGGGAGGGAGCUCAUCUAUAGACUGGCAAGACUUGGGUUGGGAGUGCGGAGGUUUGCAGAAAUGCACUGGCAACACAGCAGGGCUGAACCUCAGGCAAGCUGCAGACACUGAGGAUAACUCAUACCCCUCAUGCAUGUUCCCAGAGCCCCCAGAGUCUCCUUCCACUAGAGGAAGCAUCCAAAGACUUCCUCUCCCCCCGCCCCCGAAGAGUGAGGGCUAUGUUGCCAAGGCAAGAGUUCGUGCAGGGCCACCAUUCAAUCUCCUGCUGGGAGCCAGGUUGAGCUUAUACAAGGUGACCUCUAUAGAGCGCUAUGAUUCCAUAAACAGAAAGCCAAAUCAACAGGUGAUUACUUCAGUACAUCUUCACGACUGGAUUUUUGGCAGAAGAUGCCACCUGCUACUGUCUACAUGGAUAGAAAACAAUCCUUCACCCCUAGCUUGGCCCCAAGCAGGCUCCCUAUCUACCAUGACCCCCUCCCAUGUUGUGCAUGAGGAUGAAUGGCUUCCCCCCAACCCACCUCCCACCCUUCCAUCCAUCACCAGCUGCCUGUCUGUGGCCUUCGCCAGAAUCUCCAGCCUUCCCCCGCUGAAUGCUCCGGAGACCCCCCUCCAAUUCGUGUCUCCUGCCUGAGCUCUAAAUUACCCUGACAGCUCGUCCUUGAUAAGGAACGGCUGAAGAUCAUGUUUCCCAUCAGGGGUUGACUAGCUCUGAAAUACAAAGUCCAAGACUCCAAAGUGCUGGCUGUCUCCUGGAAAACAAGGAAGGAGCCUAACCAGCUGGGUGGUGCUUACUUGAAUUAUAAGAGAAAGGGGCUGGUGGGGGUUGGUCUUUUUAUUCAUUUGAAGAGAGCUUAUCAGUCCCUUGGUUUCAGUUGUGCCCUUCCUGGUCAUGUGUUCCAUAGCUGAUCCUCUCAAGAUUCCAGAUAGCAGAGUUCUUGGGUGGUGUGGUCCCAUCUGUCAGAUGAGUAGACUGAGGCCUGGAGACGGCACUCAAGCCAGAUGCUCAAUAGCUGUAAAAGGGCCACAGUGUCUGGGGCAAUGCCCAUGUCUCUCUCCUGGCUAGGUCAUAUAAGGACCAGGUGGAUAGGAGAUUGUGAUGAUUUGUUUAUCCUCGACUGAAAGACUGCUGCUCUCUAUCAGGGUGGCAGGCACAUUGAGAGCCAUAUGAUGUUUUGAGAGUGGAGUCUCCCACUUGAGGCUGAAUCAAGGCUGUUUUCCCACAUGACUGCCUUGUCAGNUUGUUUAUCCUCGACUGAAAGACUGCUGCUCUCUAUCAGGGUGGCAGGCACAUUAAGAGCCAUAUGAUGUUUUGAGAGUGAGUCUCCCACUUGAGGCUGAAUCAAGGCUGUUUUCCCAUAUGACUGCCUUGUCAAUUUGGUUCCGACCUCAGAACAAGGAGCAGGUCCAAGUCCUGGGCUCCAGUGGGAGAGCUGGGCUGGGGCUGAGCAAGAGUGGGGUGCUGAGGUUUGUUUGCUGGCUGCAGCAGAGGGUCCCAUGAUGGUGUUUCCAGGGCUGAAGGGGUGGGCAAAGGUAAAUCCAGGCAGGAGAACCAAAGUCCACAAAGGCCUGGACAGGUAGGAGAAAGACAACAGAACUGAAGAGAGACAGGAUGCCUCUGAGCUGUAGAUUAG